GGCAAUUCAGUUUAAGUUUGAAAACGCAUUAACAUGCCGAACAUGAAUAGUUAAAGGCUUAAACACUUGUUGUACCUUUGAAGUUAAAGGAAGAGCAAGGU
rnacentral:rRNA from 1 species